CCACCGGAAAAGAAGAGUGGCGAACGGGUGAGUAACACGUGGGUAACCUGCCCAUCAGAAGGGGAUAACACUUGGAAACAGGUGCUAAUACCGUAUAACAAUCGAAACCGCAUGGUUUUGAUUUGAAAGGCGCUUUCGGGUGUCGCUGAUGGAUGGACCCGCGGUGCAUUAGCUAGUUGGUGAGGUAACGGCUCACCAAGGCCACGAUGCAUAGCCGACCUGAGAGGGUGAUCGGCCACAUUGGGACUGAGACACGGCCCAAACUCCUACGGGAGGCAGCAGUAGGGAAUCUUCGGCAAUGGACGAAAGUCUGACCGAGCAACGCCGCGUGAGUGAAGAAGGUUUUCGGAUCGUAAAACUCUGUUGUUAGAGAAGAACAAGGAUGAGAGUAACUGUUCAUCCCUUGACGGUAUCUAACCAGAAAGCCACGGCUAACUACGUGCCAGCAGCCGCGGUAAUACGUAGGUGGCAAGCGUUGUCCGGAUUUAUUGGGCGUAAAGCGAGCGCAGGCGGUUUCUUAAGUCUGAUGUGA
rnacentral:rRNA from 1 species